CUCGUUUGCCUCUUUUCAGUCCCUUAAAGACUUUUAAAAAUGGUAUGAAGUAGGGUUUUUAUUUAAGAAACAACAGAUGAAUAGAUGAUUAGGUUUAAGGAAAAGGUGUUCCAGAUUCAUUAAGGAUAGCUUUGAAGUAAUGCAGUUAAGUCUUAUUUGUUUGGGAAGCGACUGGUGCCUGUAGGUACAUGUUCCCCAUGUGUGGAGUCUGGAGUGGGAACUAUGGCUGCUGGACUGUGUGUCCAUGGAGGAGGCUGCACAGGCCCUUUCCUUGAAGGGCUCUGCAGCGCUGGCAGUGACAAACAGCAGGGAGAGGAGCAAUGGGAGCGUGGCCAGAAGUUGUAGCUGAUGUCUCGUGUGUUUCUAAACAUAAUAGCACAUGAAUGCUGGUGGUGAAAGCAAAUGUAAGACUUGUACAAACGAAAAAAUUGGCAGAGGGAAGUAUUUCUUAGCUUGCACCGUACCUAUUUUCUGUCUAUAACUGGUUUUGCUGUUCAAACUAUGUAUAAUUCUUUUUCACCCUUGCAUAUGGAGUUUUAAUCUUGAAGCAUUUAUAGGCAAAAAAAGGGGCAAAUAUAACUCCUUGUUCAUAUUAUACCUGAAAAAUGUCUGCCUUUAUUUCAGACUAAAACUGAGAACUUCAUCGAUGCUUCCAAGUGUCUGUUUUGUUAGAUUCCUCCUCAGUGCAGUAUGUCUGUGUAAAAUAGCCUCAGUCCUUAUCCAGCAGAGAUUCCCCAUUGAUGACUGUCCCACCCAUGAAGAUGCCAAUGGUGAAGUCUGAGUUACUGCAUUUGUACCACUGGAAACUGUUGUGCUGAAAGGAAGAAUUAACUGGUCUUUCAACUUCAGCCUUUUUAUUGUGAGAGGGGAGAUCACAGAAGUGUUACCAUGAGGAGAACAGCAGCGAAAGGUUUUCUGCGUGGCUGUUGUCUAAGUAUAGUCAAAGAGACUCCCUGUUCCAAGCAGAUAAGAAUCCCACUAGGGAAGCACAAGAAGAAAGGAAAAGAGAAAUUUCAUAGUCACUCUGUCUGGAUAUCCUCAGCUGUGUGCACUGAGGCUUGGUGAAAGGUAGCUAAAAGGUGUUCACAA
rnacentral:lncRNA from 1 species